GAGGGAAGAGAGGAAAGAGGUCACCCAACUCCUCCAAGUAGUAAGAAGGAGCGUCCAGACGCCGCCUAAAGAUGAAUCCUUAUAGCUGAAUGGAUCAUUACAGUUGGGUUACUACAAUUUUACUGAUCAGGACAACUUUUUGACUCACAAGUGGAAUGAAUACAAAGAGGGAUUGCAUUUUGCUAAGGGUUCUACAGGACCAUAGAAGCAGAAGAACUCAUUCUACUACUGAAAGAAGCCAUGCUUGAAUGGUCAUUACCUGUGAUGUGCCCUGGAGUUGUGUCUCAGAUCAAUGAUAGCAUUUCAUCCAUGGAUAAUAUGAGUGUAGAGAUUGUGGCCAGGAUUUCAACUAUGCAUACGAACGGGAUUUGGGUAAGCCCAAGGUAUAAUUUCUGGCU